AGAACUAACUUAAUUAAAUUAGUUUCUUACAAAAUGUGUCGGACAUUUUGAAUCUUUCAUUAUGAUUAAAAAUUAGAGUUUCUAGAGUAAUAAAGGUUUAGAAAAAAUAAAAGAAAUUUGUUUUUAGUAUUAUAUUGUGGCUAAUGAAGGAGUUAAAAAGUCCUGUAAGUUCUUCGGUAAUAUUGUAUGAGCGAUUAAAAGUAAUUUUAAGUACAGUAAAAAAGUUUCUCCUCAAUCAAGAUAAUCAAUGAACUAUCAUUUAUGCUAUCACCCCCUAGUCAUUCUUUGUGGCUGAAUUUUUAAUAAAAUAAAAGUAUAAAAAAUAAAUUUAUAAAACCCAUAAAAUAGAAAUAAAAAUAUAAAACUCAUAAAAUUAAAAUAAAAAUAUAAAACUCUAAAAAUAAAAAUAAAAAAUACAAAACUCUAAAAGUAAAACAUAAAAAUAUAUAAAUGUUCAUCUAGUCGCAAUCAAAUACCUUAUUUUCAUCAUCCAAUAUAAUGUAUAUGGCUCUUAAAGAUUGUGGCAUUGUUUUAACUAUCUAACAUUUAAUAAAUAUACAAUAAACUAUUUCCUAUGCAAUCGCCCCUGCUUAAUUCUCUUCAACAUAUAUAUAUAUUUUUUUUUCCUACUUUUUAUCUGUCCUAUUUUUUGUUAUUGAUAUUAUUAAGAUUCUUAUAUUUUUAUUUUGCUUUAUUAUUAAGGAUAAUCACUAUUAGCUAUAAAUGUUUUAUUUUGAUUAUAGUAGUAAAAUAUAUAUUGAUUAUAGUGUUUUAUAUUACUGCAUUAAUAUUAUUAUUAUUAAUAUUUAUUUCUAUUAUUAUUAAUAAUACUUAAUAGUAUUAUUAUUAUUAUUAUUAUUAUUAUUAUUAUUAUUAUUAUUAUUAUUAUUAUUAUUAUUAUUAUUAUUAUUAUGUUAUUAUUUAUACCAUUAUAGGUCUUUACACGUCAUCAGUUUAUAACUGUUUGUAAAUGUCCCGCACAAUUGUAUAUAUAUACAGUAUUAUUAAAGUGAAAAUAUAUUGAUUGAUUGAUUGAUUGAUUGAUUGAUUGAUUGUAACAAUAUACUUUGAUAAUUCUUAUUUUUAGUUAUAGCUACUAAAAUAGCAGUUUCAAAAAAGUAGCAGUAGUUUCAAAAAAGUAGCAAUGUCAGCAUCUUUUUAAACUAUUUCUUAAAUUGUUUUUUCUGUUUGGUUUUUAACAACGCUAAAAUAUUACUUAAAAUGCAUAAAUUUUCUCUAAAAGUUUUAGAGGAAAAUUAUGCAUUUUAAGUCGUAGCUACUUUUUAAAUAACUAAGUAAAAUUAUUAUUUUUUGUUUAUAUUAAGACCUAACAUCUGUUUGUUUAUGAUAGAUGUUAAGUGGUAGAUGUUAAGUGAUAGAUGUUAAGAUGCAAGUGGUAAGUUGAUUUUUUGUGACGUUUUUACUCCUUUAAAAUUUAGAUUUUCCUAAAAUAAUAAUUAAGUUAAUGGCUAUUUCUGUAAAGAUCAUUCUGUAAAUAAAAACUGCAGUGAUUUUUAAAACUAAUAGUUAUUCUUUUAGUAAUCACAAGAUAAAGUGCUAACACUGUACUUUUAGAUAUGAUUCUAAUACAUGUUUUUUUUUUUAUAAGCAUAUGAAAUUUUUGAAACAGGCUCGGGUAUGCUUAAGCAAAAAGUUAAAAGAGGCUCAAAAAUAUGCUUAAACUUAAGCAUAUUUCUAAUAAAAUGUGCUUAUUCAAUACUUUCUAAAAGUGUGCGCGUUACUAAAGGUUAUAAAAAAAAUAAAAAGUUGACUUUUGUACAGUAUAAUAAAAAAUAAAAAAUAUAUACUAUAUACAAAUGUUAUCAAUAAAAUCAAAGAUAUGAACUUCGCAUUCCUUCUCGUCCGGACCCAUAAAGGUGUCAUCUAAAAGAAUUUUGUUGGCAUCUUCAUUUAUAGCAUCAUCUACCUCCACCGGUUGAAUAUCAUUUGAUUUCCCUUGGGUUGAUCACUGCCAGGAUCAAUGAUGGAUGGUGGGGGCACUUUGUAACUAUCAAGGCCCUCUGGUUUAACAAGCGAAUCUUCUGAGCCAUCAGAAGUCAUUAAACACCCAGUCAUCGUCCAACAUUUCUUCCUUUGCUUGUCAUACUUAGAAGUGUUUAAAGCUUUCCAUGCUUCCCCUGCCCAAUGUGUAAUCAAAAUUCGACUCUCUUUUGCAGUGUAGGGCAUUUCAUUACUGAACCAUCUAUCAGAAUGAUUAUCUCUAUCAAGCCAUUAUUGAUAUUCAAGAUAUUUUGUGGAACGUCUUCCCUUCAGAAACAAUUUGCGAUAGGAUGAUUCGGCAUCUUUAAUAAUAGUUUCUUUUUUUUUAAGCCAUCGCGAAAUCUGACUUUGCGUUACACCAAACGACUAUGCUAUAGUAUCUUGAUUUGCCUCAUAACCAUAGGCGUUAAUUGCCUCUGCUUUAAAGGCAGAAGUAUGUUGGUAGUGUUUCUUACCAGCUAAUUUGCUAGCCUCUUUACUUUUUUUUAUGGCACUAACAACUUUGUUGACAAUGAUAUCAAGUACAUCUUUAACUGCUAGAGUGACAAGUUCUUUGUUACUUUGAAGAACUUGUGAUUGUGAAUGUUUACAAUCUUGUUUGCUAAUUCCGUGCAUAACUUUAACAUGAAAAGCUAGUCCUUGUUGGCAUUUGAAUAACUUUUUGCAAUGUCCGCAUUCAACACUAGUUUUGACAGCUUCUAAUGGCAAUCGGAUUGCACUCAUUUCUCCUCUGUGCAUAACAUUUUUUGUGAAACCAAACGCUGCCAAUGUAGGCUGCUUUCUCUUUAUCUUCUUUGACAUUUUUAUUACUAUUUUUAACAGUAUCUGAAAAUAAGACUUAGAAAUAAAAUAAACAUUUUGAAUAUGGUAUUAAAUAAACUACACAUUAAGAGCGAAAAAGAAAAAAAAGAGAGAGAGAAAGAAAAAAAGAGAAAGAGAAAGAAAAAAAAGAGAAAGAGAAAGAAAAAAAAAGAGAGAGAAAGAAAAAAAAAAGAAGAGAGAAAUAAAACACUGCAGAGCGACUCUUAAACUUUAUGUUUUUCUGGUCAAGUAUUGAGAUUUUGCAUUACAAUGACUUCUUUACUUCAUAAAGUCGUUGCACUGCAAAACAUAAACUUCGAUUUUUGUUGUUUUUGUAGGCUUAAAUUUAGAAAUAUAUAUAUUUAAAAAUUUUAAUAAAAUAAAAUAAAAAUCUUUUAAAUGGUUUAUCGAGGCUUAGGAAUAUGCUUACAUAUGCUUCUUUUUUUUCCAAAUCUGAGCCUCUAUAUGCUUAUAAACGUUAUGCUUAUAAAAAAAAAAACAUGUAGUUGAACAUCUGUCAGAUAUUUACCUUUUAAAUCAUAAUCUAAUUGCUCAAGCUUCUGAAAAGCUAUUUAUAAAAAUUCAACGCUUAAAAAUUAAUGUAAGAUUAAAGGUAAUUCCUGUUAUAUUUAAAAGGUAUGUUGAUGAUUGGUUCGAGUCUUUAAAGUUUAAAUUAGUUAAAAGAGAGUUCAAAUUGUUUAGUUUUUAUCUUAUGCUUAUAAUAUAUAUGCUUUAUAUCUAAAAGCUAUUGAAAUAUUUAUAGCAUUAUUUUUUAUUUAUUUUAUUAUGCUAUGGAAGACCUACCAAGCUUGAAAUUUUAACGGGUUGAAAUAUAUAGUAUGUAUAAGUAUAUCAUCUCUCGGAAUUAGGAAAACUAAAGUCUGCAAAAAAAGGUAAAAAACUAGACGACUAAACUUAUUUAAAACGCUUUUAACAAGUUUAGUUACAAGUUAAUGUUAUGUGUUGAUGUACCUUCAACCAAAUUAGUGUUAACAUUUUAGCAAAAUGUCAUAUCGCCAGUCUGUUGGAAGAACCAAAAGCUUGAUAUUUUAUUGAAUUGUUAUUUUAGUUUGUGAUAUUAUAAUUUUUAUUCACAAAAUGUUAAAUAAUUUACUUUUUAAAUUUAUUUGUCAUUGCCUUGGAUAAGAUGUUUUGUUAUUCCUUUUACAGAUUGUUAUGAGGAUUGCAAAACUUUUAAAUAUCAGAAACUGAAGAAAGCAUUGAUAAUCAGCAGAUAUCAAAAAAGCGGAAAAGUACUGAUUAUACAACUCUUUUAAAGUUGAGGAAGAAUUUUAUGUUAAUGUUAAUGCAAAAGGUAUGAAUAUUGACAGGUUUGCUAAUUUGAUGUUACAAUAAACAUGAAAUAAAGUUUGUGAAGACCUUAGUGCCAAAAAUACUUGCAUGCAUUAUUCAUGCAUGCUGUAUUAUAAUAUAGCAUGCAUGCAUGAUGCAUUCAAGUAUAAAAAAAAAAAUUACAAAUGUUUAAUUAUACAAAAAGAUUAUGGAUGUGGUACUGCAAGUAUAUUCAAUUGAUUAUGCAAGUAAGUUGUCCUACUUUACAUCUUUGAAGACUAAUAAUAAUUGUAAUGAACAUAUCUCAGACAAUAUACACUCGGAUUUAUAUUUUAGUUAAAUAAUCACCACUUCCACAGCCACCUUGUCUCAAGCAUUAAAUGGCAUUCUAAGAUAUCUUUAUUCAAAUUAGGUGUGACUACUUUACCAAAAGACUCUAGAAUGGACCAAUCAAGUUAGGUGUCUAAAUCUAUAUCUUUUAUAUAGAACUCCUUUAUUUUUAGAUAAACCUGUUAAUUUUAUGACUUAUGAACAUAUUUAGCAAUGUAAUCCUUUUAGGAUAGACUUUUUAAAAUCAAAUUUACAAUGUUUUAGUAAAUUUUUAUUUAAAAUAACUUUGUAUACUUAAUAUAUCUAUAUAGUUAUUUACAUAAUAGCUAACCCAUCAGUACUUGCAAAGUCUCUAUUUCUGUAAGCCCGAAAAUUGAGUUCUGAAAUACUAUUAUCCACAUAACUUCUAUAUCAAAGUACAAUCUAAUGGAUUGAUCAAUGAAACUGUCGGUAUCUCCACAACUUUUCAAUUAAAUAGAAAGUUUCAAUUAAACAGGAUACUAAGUGUGCCUACUGCUCCUCAAGACAAU